rnacentral:lncRNA from 1 species
CAGGGGCGGGCAGGGCCUUGCUGGGCCAGGUAGGGGAGGCCUUAGGCUCCUCUCCUGCUCAGCUCCAACUCUGCAAAGUUUGCUUCAACUGCAGCCAGAGCUGUGCAGACGCGUGUGGAGUAGCAGGAUGAACAGAAGUUCCGACCCGGAGGUCACCGUCUCGGCGGCUCGUUCCUCCAUAGGUCAGUGUCCCGGAGGCACCCUACAGGUGCGCAGAGAACCCGGCCAACUGCCCGCGUGCAUUCAUGAUUGUUCAUCUCUGACCGUGUGGUGGCAGAGGUUCCUUCAGUGGUGCCCUGUCCACCGUGCCUGUCCACGACCUGGGGACAACUGUCAUCAAAGAAGUUCUGCAGAGGGCCAAGGUGGCUACUGAAGAGGUGUUUGAGGCGGACACGUUUUGACCGCAGGUAACUCUUCAAUAGACCAGGAAAGGUCAGCUUCAUUAGAAACAGAACAUUUAUUGGCUCUCCCACACCCUAUCACCACCACCACCACCACCACCACACAUUGCUUUGGAGUUCUCUCUGCUAGGAUUCUUUCUGUCCCUCCUCCUUCCUGUAGCUGAAGUCAAAGCUUCCUUAUGAACGUUUUCCCUGAGUGAUUUUAGACCAGGGGUGUGACUGCCUCUGCAUUGUUAGGAGCAGGGCCAGGCUGAUGCACAGAAAGGUAUGCAUAAUUCUCCACAUACCCCUAAAAUGUCACACAGUCAAGAAAAGUGUGUGGGCCUGACACUGUGCCAGAGCUGCAAGUGAGGCUGCAGCAGAGCCCUUGUCCACUUGUCAUGAGAUAGGCUGUCCCUCACUCCUGGGGGACUCUCUGGAGGAAGAAUGCUUCAUCUUACCUCUGAUUCCUGCUGGGUUUGUGGACCAGUGACUACUGUGGUCAGUUCCUGUUGAUAAUCGAUUUGAACCUGGGUGUGUAGCUCAGGGGUGAAGUGUGUGGUUAGCGUGCAUGUGGUCAUGAGUUCACUCUCUUGCCCUGCCCUGUGCUCUCUCAGCUCACAUUUGAAUCAACUGUAGAGAAAGUUGUUAACAUUCAAUACCAACUUCUGCUCUUCUUCUGUGCCAUUUGUAUGCGUGUCAGUUGGACAUCCUGUAUGUUUUAGAUGGGUGUUUUGCCCGCACAUAUGUCUUGCAUUUACCACUUGCCGCCUGGUGCUGGCAAAAGCUGGAGAGGACAUUGGGUUUCCUGGAACUGGAGUUACAGAUGGUUGUUGUUGUGAGCUGCUGUGCGGGUGCUGGGAAUCAAACCCCAAGAGCAGCCAGCGCUCCUAACCACUGACCAACUCUUCAAGCCUCUGAAUGUUCUAUAUUUGGAAAGGUUCUUAUUUCAGAAUUUAUAACCCCCAACAUACUUUUAUUUCAAUAUAUUAAAUCUUAAGUAUAUGUUGGUUGGAUAUAAUUGAAAUAAUAUAUAUAUAUGUACAUAUACAUGUAUAUAUAUUAUAGAUGCAUUAAUUGGCUGGAAC